CCCUGAGACUUUAAGUCUCCUGAAGGAACGUUAAAGACGAUGACGUUGAUAGGCCGGGUGUGUAAGCGCAGCGAUGCGUUGAGCUAACCGGUACUAAUGAACCGUGAGGCUUAACCUUAC
rnacentral:rRNA from 1 species